rnacentral:rRNA from 1 species
AAACUAAUUUAACUUGGCGGCAUUUUAUUUAAUCAGAGGAAUUUGUCCUUUAAUCGAUAAUCCACGUUAAAUUUAACUUUAAUUAAUAAACUUAUAUACCUCCAUCUUAAGAACUAAUCUUAAUAUAUUACUCUAAAAAAUAAAUAAAAAGUUAGGUCAAGGUGUAAUUUAUAUUAAAGAACAAGAUGAAUUACACUACAUAUAAUUAUAAGAUUAUAUAUAAAUAUAUGUAUAUAAAUAAGAAUUUGAAAGUAAUAUUACAAUAAUAUUAUAGUAUGAUAUAAAAAAUAAAUGUGCACACAUCGCCC